GGAGGGUUGGCAGAGCGGUUGAAUGCAACGGUUUCGAAAGCCGUCAGGUGUAACAGCCUCGGGGGUUCAAAUCCCCCACCCUCUUCCA
rnacentral:tRNA from 1 species